GGAGGGCUCGCCUAGUGGCCGAUGGCGGCAGUCUUGAAAACUGCUACACCGGGGAACCGGUGUCGUGGGUUCGAAUCCCACGCCCUCCG
rnacentral:tRNA from 1 species